CCUGGCGUCUCCUGGCUCUCUCCGCAGCCCCUUCUUCUCCCCAUCUCACCCCCCACUCCGCUUUCCCGUCUCCAGCCCGGCUCGGGGAAACUCCCAGCGCCAGAGUCAUCCCCAUCCAAAGCUGAGCUUCCAGACAAAAAGGCUCAACUCGGAGGCUACAACCCAGCCACUGAUUUUUUUACUCUCUCCCUUUCAAUGUCUAUUCUCAGGCUUAAAAAAAAAUCCCUUUUCUUUAUUCUCCCACUCUAAGCUUGCCCUUGAUUGCAUUUGGUGAUGUUAUGUUCGUUUGUGUGUGUGGUUUUGUUUUUUUUUCCAGCCGGCCCGACUCUGAUGUGCCGAAAAGGCUCAAGCCUCAGCAGCUCACCCCCGUGGGCUGGAAGCCUCACAUUUCCAAGCUGGGCUCGCAGCUCGCUCGGCUCGGAGCAGGAUCCUCUCCCCCUCCCUGCAGCUGAAGCCUCGCAGAAAACUCCCCCUGCGGCCGGCUGGAAAAUGAACUCACCCAAAUCUCGGGUCUUGUACUUUUCUCCAUCGCCAACAUGUAUAGAAUUUUCUGGCACAAACGCCCCGCCAAAGGCACAUCACAAGCAGCAGGAGGUGAAGGUAGGCCCCAGUGCCAAAGCCAAGGGGUCUAGGUGCCUGACCAGCAGCGCAAUGAUGCCCUCCCCUGCCUGCCAUCCCCCCCAGCCCCCUGAGACCCUGCACACAGAAUUUCAGGCCCAGAUGGAACCUCUGGGUCUCAGGAAGGCUAUUUCUCUGUUUAUUUCUCGGGGAACUGCGCUGGCUGAGCAGGCAACACAAUCCUUUUAGGAUUGCGGAGAGACCCGGACUGGGCCGGCGGCCUGCAAGCCCUUCCCCGAACCCCUGCCCAGCGGCCUGGGCGGAUACCUGGGCGCCUGGGGAAGGCGGCUCGGCUCGCAGGGGUAGGAGCAGGCCCGCCAGGCAUCCGCGCCCCUGGCUGGCUGUAGGGGGAAGCCAGGGGAGGGGGUGUCAAGCCAAACCUUGACUUGGGCGAAUCUACGUUUAUGAUCUUUAAAUGAAGUGUGAGGAAAAUGGUGUAAGUAUACUUUAACUCGGAGAAAUUUCCUGCGAAAUGCAUUUCGAUGACUGUAGACUUUUAACAGCCCUAGGGGUUCUCAGGCAAGCCUUAGGUAACCAGCUUGGAGUUACCUCAACUCUGCAGCCACAUUCUCAGAUUUGGAAAAGGCCAGUUUAGGGAUACAUACACACACUUAACUUUUUUAUUGUUGCUUUCUGGUAAAUGUUUUCUUUUGUUUUCUAGCAGAGGUGAAAAAAAAAAAGAAGGUUCAGGUAAGUCACUCCUUUUCAAACAAACCAAACAUUUCAAAAACUUUAGGAAGACUAUUUUGCCAUGAUGUGUCAGGUUACUUUAGAAAUGCACUUUAAAAUACCUACACACGGAUUUUUUUUCUCUUAAAGAAAUAGUUUGUGUGUGGGCUUAAAGUAAACUUACUAGUUUUGAAAAGUGUCUUCUUUCUUCCCCCCCCCCCCACCUUUCCAUUUAUAACUGUAAACUUAGGCCUUUAUAAGAUUAAUUCGGAACCAUCAGGGGACUAAAACACUUUUACAGUGUAAUUACAGUAGUACAAAUUGUUUGCCCAAACCUCGUUCUGGAUAAGGAUUUUACAAUUAGCAAACAGUUAUUACAGUCGGGGCUUGCUGAGAGAAAUUGCGCAGCGGACAUCUAGAGUUGCAAUCUAGUAGCCAUAAAAAGAAAAAAAAACAAACCCUGCUGUAGUAGAGCAGCAAUUAAUCACCUAUUAAGAGGAAAAGGUAAAGGGAUGGUUGUAGUAAAGGACCAUCCACAUUGAUACCUGUGAUGGGACAGCAUGCAUCCUUAGCGUAUUUCAAACACUUGGUUUUUAAGGCAAUCGCACUUUUAUCUUGGGAGAGCUUGGCUUAGUGAAGGGUUCUGACACUUGCCCCUGGUUCUUGCACUUGGGCCUUCCAGAGUCAGCUUUUCCUUCCCAGCCCAGAAUAUCCUCCCAAAUGCAGAGAAGGGGGACUUUAAAGAGGCAGGCUGGGGCCUAGGUCUCUAUUGUUUACAAACUCCUGCCAGAAGGCAUUUAAAGUAGGUGUUGUCCCUUUAGGCUGUUGGUACAGUCCUCACUGCAAACUCCCUUCUCGUUUUCUGUUCUUCUAGAAGGAAUUGUGCCUACUUCAGAUCUCUAUCCUGAAGCAGGCUUUUGUCCCCAAAAGUUCACACUUAAUGCAUCGACUCCAUACGCCACAGAAAUUUAAAGAGGCAACUCUUAAGGUAAAAUGUGUGUGUAUUUGCCAGCCCAGAAUAAACAAAAGCCUGCUAAUCAAUCGAGUUUGGCAGCUGUGUUCACAGAAUGAUAAGGGUUUAUCAUCCGGCACCUAACUUUUAGCUGCCUGUGAAACUUCGGAUCGCUCUUGGGGCUUUUGGUUGUCCCGGGGUGCAGUGGCUUGGGGAUCCCAGGACUUCAAGAACUUUCAUCCUCCCCAUCUCACCCCCGCAUUAGCAUUUCCACUUCAAAAAAACAGAACUCAGGGGCGGGGAGGACAGUUUAAAGAAAAUAGAUUUAAAAUCUAGUAGAGAUAAUAGAGGAAUGCUGAAGAUAAGAGGCUGGAUGUGAUAGGGGAAAGGUACCAAGCAGUCAAAGCUAAUGAAUGGCUUCGAGGAAAGCGAAAUAAACUAUUUAGAGGUCUAUAAAAUGGAGAAACUCGGUUAGGUGAUAUGAAAGGGGGGUUAACCGAGGGGAUUAGGAAAGACGUUAAUCAAGUGCCCUAAAGCUGUAAGGGCUGGGGGAUUUGUUUACUGCAUUUUGCUUCAGAGAACCAAGAAUGUCUGGGACCAGUUCAGAAGUCAAUGAGAGGUCAGCUUAGGCUCUCCCACUGUCCACAGGAAAAUACCUGUGACUAUAGUCUGACUGGAUAAUGCAAAAGUUAAGAAAUGAAGGUGGUAGUGGGGGUGGGUAGGGUGGUGGGUGGGUGGGGGUGUGUUUUCCUUACUAUCUUUCUAUUUCAAAUCAUUAAAACGCUUUGGUCUCUAGAGGGGGGGAAAUUACACUGGUUAACAUAAUUACUAGCUCUGACAUUUUCAGAAGUUAUAGAGGUCUUUUAUUAAUUAAAUGGAGGGCUUAAUAAAAUAUUCCUAAUAAAAUUUAUGGUUGUCUUAAAACUUUCUAAACAGUGCUAUAAAUUCUUUAUAAAAUUAACUGGGAAAUGAGUUAUUAGCCCACACUUUGCCCUCCCCCCAGUUCUACGGAAAGAGUGUCUGCAGAAUGAAAGGGGAAAUAGAAGCCUUUUAGUAAAAUAUAAAUGUUAGCCAAAGUCACGCAUUGUUUUAGGAGAGGCAAAGUUUCAACCACGUCUAAUGGCUUCAUCCUCCAGUAUUAUCCUCCAAAAGCUAUUCACAAAACUUUUAGAGAAUUUCUUCCCCUUCUCAGCUGCAUAUUAUAUAUUCAUGCAUAUCUAAGUCCAUUUGAAAUACAAUGCUUCCUUCUCUGGAUUGAGUUACAUGCUAAUUUUAAUAAAAAAGCAUAGCAUAGCUGCAUCAUGCAGAAUUCCAACUUAUAAUUUUUAAGGUUAAUAUUGUAAAUAUUUUCUUUAGCCACUAGAAGAUAAUUAAAAAUGAAAUGCCUUGUAAUUUAUGUCAGUUUAAUUUCUUUAAAGGUAACUGUUAAAUAAAUUCUCAACCAUACUUCCCUAUGAACUCCUCACUUGUAAAGGUGCAUUAUUUGAAGCAGCAUUUUGUUGUGUAAAUAUGAAAACUUUUUUUUAUUACUUCCUUUCAAAACCUUGGUGAGUUAUCUCAAGUUUGAGAUACUUCUUUGCUUCACAGAUACAACACUGGCUGGCUGGCUGGCUGGCUGGCUGGCUGUUUAAAAUGAACAAUAUAGCCAAACACACUCCAAACUAAGUCAAACAAACAGCGUUGGUGGAUUGUUCAGCAUUUGAAGGCUUGAUCUUUUGUGCCGUCUACUGGACAAUGGAAAAACUACAGCUCUAUGAUUUAAACUUUUCUCUUGUCCAGCAUUGGGGGUGGGGAGUGGGUGGGAGGGGGAUGUGACCUGCUAUUGGGAAAUAAUAAGAGAGGACAUGCGACCUAAUUUAGACUCAGAGUACAGGUCUUGUGACUUCUUCAAAUCCAAAUUUAGGACAUUAUAUUAACGAUAGGCAUGCCUCAACCACUUGAUUAAGGCACAAGGCUAAAUCUAGAUUUUAUACAGUCCUGUAUAUGUGUGUGUGUGUGUGUGUGUGUGUGUGUGUGUGUGUGUGUGUGUGUUGGCUUGGAAAGAGAAAGAAAGAUGUUGGGACAAGCUUAGCAUCUCUGAAAAAAUUAUUGGUGGUUACUUGGCUCUCCGUGUGAAUUGGCUUGACAGUCAAGUUACAUGUAUCUACUACCUAGGUAAUCCAGAAUGUACAGGUUAAUUCCUGGAAUUUGGAACAUGAUAUUGUUCAAUAAUCCAGAAGAGUACUUUGGUGAGGGGAGAAAUGAAAUUGGUAAUUAGAAAAAUUUUAGUGCAGCUAUUUUUUUGGCAAUCUUGGAUUAAAAACAUGAAACAUUACUGUUUUCACUUGGAGACCACAUGUGGGAAAAAGUGAGGGUGAAAUUCACAGUCAGAUGCUUUUAUGUAGCAGAGGCUGUUUGAUGUUCUCUUAAACAUGUAAAAACAUUAUAUACAUUUUGGUUAUGAUUUCAAAAAUAUUUAAAGAGCCCUAGUAUUAUGCAAGCUUCAUACAAAAAAAUGCAUGGAGCUAACUUUGACCUCUGAUAUUGACAUAGUUUCUGAAUAACCACAAUUACCAUACAGACUUGAUUUUAUGUAAGAAAAAUAUAAACAAAGCCCAAUACCAACGUCAUAUAGAGGAGUCAAGCUGAUUUUGGUGCAAGAGACAUAGACUUGGGUACAAGACUCUUAAAACAGCCCAUCUGCUUUUCUGAAGUUAAAAUUCCCUGUUGAAUUUUAAUAACUUAAUAGCAAAUGGCUAGUUAUUGGGGUGCCUUUUAAUAAUAACCUAAUAGUGGAAAGGAGGCAGCUUUAGGACAUUUUCUUGAUGCAUAAGUACACUUCAAUGGUCUGCUUCAAAUGGUGUGGCAUUGUGUCAGAAUGACAUUAACAUAGUGUAUUAAAUAUAGAUAUGGCAGAGGAUUUGGGCUGAUGUAGACUCCUGAAAGCAGGGAGAUUGCUUAUGUUGCAGAGUAAAACAAACAAACAAACAAACAAAAACCCCAGGAUGCUUUCAGUUGUGCUGCAGUGUGUGUGUGUGGGGGGGGGGGGGGGGGGGUGGUGGGCCAUGUCUCUUUAACUGGAGCAUCAUCAACUGGACUGUGAAAGGUUAUUUAAUGAGAUGCUGUUUGGAUCACAAGGCCCUCCUAACCAUAGCUAGAAAAUGUAGAAAAGUCUUAUGGGGAAACGGGAACCAAUUACCAGUUCUCACACGCCUGAUACAUCCUAAGCGGAUAGUGGAAGUCCUGAGACCUGCAGAAGGUUUUCUGGUCACCAAAGUCCUAACAUUUAUCUUUGAAGCAACAGGAUGGGCCAGACUGGUCAUGGUACACAUUCACGUUCCACUGGAUAAAGGGGCAUAUUUUGUGAAAACCUUCAGG